rnacentral:snoRNA from 1 species
AAUCUCCAGAUUCCUUACCCCUCAGAUCUAAAUAUUGGUCUGAGUGGCUAAAAAAAGGAAGAAAAGUAAAACAGAAGUGGACGUGGAGUCUAAUGACAUACAAGUUCAUUUGAAACAUUU